rnacentral:rRNA from 1 species
AUUGAACGCUGGCGGCAGGCCUAACACAUGCAAGUCGAACGGUAGCACAGAGAGCUUGCUCUCGGGUGACGAGUGGCGGACGGUGAGUAACGUCUGGGAAACUGCCCGAUGGAGGGGGAUAACUACUGGAAACGGUAGCUAAUACCGCAUAACGUCGCAAGACCAAAGUGGGGGACCUUCGGGCCUCACACCAUCGGAUGUGCCCAGAUGGGAUUAGCUAGUAGGUGGGGUAAUGGCUCACCUAGGCGACGAUCCCUAGCUGGUCUGAGAGGAUGACCAGCCACACUGGAACUGAGACACGGUCCAGACUCCUACGGGAGGCAGCAGUGGGGAAUAUUGCACAAUGGGCGCAAGCCUGAUGCAGCCGUGCCGCGUGUAUGAAGAAGGCCUUCGGGUUGUAAAGUACUUUCAGCGGGGAGGAAGGCGGUGAAGUUAAUAACUUCACCGAUUGACGUUACCCGCAGAAGAAACACCGGCUAACUCCGUGCCAGCAGCCGCGGUAA